UUUCCGUAGGUGAACCUGCGGAAGGAUCAUUAUUGUAUAACCGAGGUGCGAGGGCUGUCGCUGACCCGAAAGGUCGUGCACGCCCGAGUGCCCUCACACACAUCCAUCUCACCCUUUGUGCAUCACCGCGUGGGCACCCUUCGGGAUCAUCUCGGAGGGGGGCUCGCGUUUUCACACAAACCCCCCUUUUAAAAGUGUAGAAUGACCACAUUUAUGCAAUCAAUACAACUUUCAACAACGGAUCUCUUGGCUCUC
rnacentral:misc_RNA from 1 species